UACAGAGGGUGCAAGCGUUAAUCGGAAUUACUGGGCGUAAAGCGCGCGUAGCCGGUUACAUAAGUCGGGUGUGAAAGCCCCGGGCUCAACCUGGGAAUUGCAUUCGAGACUGCGUAGCUAGGGUGCGGAAGAGGGAAGCGGAAUUUCCGGUGUAGCGGUGAAAUGCGUAGAUAUCGGAAGGAACACCAGUGGCGAAAGCGGCUUCCUGGUCCAGCACCGACGUUCAGGCACGAAAGCGUGGGGAGCAAACAGG
rnacentral:rRNA from 1 species